UUGGGGGGAUUACAGAAGUGAAGGGCAAAUAUGGAGGGACUGAGAAAUGAGUGGGAUUAGCUGCAUGGCGUGAAAUCUUCAAAGACUCAAUAAAAAAUUAUGAAGGAGGAAAAAGAAGAGAAUCAGUCCUCGGGUGCCUUUAACUGAACACACAGGACAAAGCUCCCAUGGCACAGGCACACUGUCCUAUUUUCACUGGCAGCCAGAUCUGGACACAUCACUAUAUAACUGUUCUGGGCCUGGAUUCCAUCUGUGAGAUGGGCAGGAUUGCACAUUCUCUCUGCCUCACCCAUUCUGGUGACAAAGAAGAAAAAGAGUCUGAGUUCAACCAGACCAGGAACAAGACUGGACUAAAAACAGUCAAUGGCACAGCUGGGCUAGUGGAUAAGACAGUACGAGAGAAUUCCAGCGAUCCUGUACUUUGUGUAACCAUCCUGCCCUGGCCCCCAGCUACCAUCACCCCUUAA
rnacentral:lncRNA from 1 species